AACGAACGCUGGCGGCAGGCUUAACACAUGCAAGUCGAGCGCCCCGCAAGGGGAGCGGCAGACGGGUGAGUAACGCGUGGGAAUCUACCCAUCUCUACGGAAUAACGCAUGGAAACGUGUGCUAAUACCGUAUACGCCCUUCGGGAGAAAGAUUUAUCGGAGAUGGAUGAGCCCGCGUUGGAUUAGCUAGUUGGUGGGGUAAAGGCCUACCAAGGCGAAGAUCCAUAGCUGGUCUGAGAGGAUGAUCAGCCACACCGGGACUGAGACACGGCCCAGACUCCUACGGGAGGCAGCAGUGGGGAAUAUUGGACAAUGGGCGCAAGCCUGAUCCAGCCAUGCCGCGUGAGUGAUGAAGGCCCUAGGGUUGUAAAGCUCUUUCACCGGUGAAGAUAAUGACGGUAACCGGAGAAGAAGCCCCGGCUAACUUCGUGCCAGCAGCCGCAGUAAGAC
rnacentral:rRNA from 1 species